AUUGAACGCUGGCGGCAUGCCUUACACAUGCAAGUCGAACGGUAACGCGGGGCAACCUGGCGACGAGUGGCGAACGGGUGAGUAAUGCAUCGGAACGUGCCUGGUAGUGGGGGAUAACUGCUCGAAAGAGCAGCUAAUACCGCAUACGACCUGAGGGUGAAAGGGGGGGAUCGCAAGACCUCUCGCUAUCAGAGCGGCCGAUGUCGGAUUAGCUAGUUGGUGGGGUAAAGGCCCAACAAGGCGACGAUCCGUAGCUGGUCUGAGAGGACGACCAGCCACACUGGGAAUGAGAAACGGCCCAGACCCCGACGGGAGGCAGCAGUGGGGAAUUUUGGACAAUGGACGCAAGUCUGAUCCAGCCAUGCCGCGUGCGGGAAGAAGGCCUUCGGGUUGUAAACCGCUUUUGUCAGGGAAGAAAUCUUCUGGACUAAUACUCUGGGAGGAUGACGGUACCUGAAGAAUAAGCACCGGCUAACUACGUGCCAGCCGCCGCCGUAACAC
rnacentral:rRNA from 1 species